CCUCCGCCCAGACGAGAACCUGGCUUCCUUGAAGGCUGUCUGGCUGCUCUGUGUUGCUGCUGCCUUCUUGACGAAUGUUGUUGUGACCCAACCAUAAUUUUCUAUUAAAGUAUCAUCCAUAUUAAUAGAAA